AUUGAACGCUGGCGGCAUGCCUUACACAUGCAAGUCGAACGGAAGCGCGGGCUUCGGCCUGGCGGCGAGUGGCGAACGGGUGAGUAAUGAAUCGGAACGUGCCCAGUAGUGGGGGAUAGCCCAGCGUAAGCCGGAUUAAUAUCACAUACGACCAGAGGGUGAAAGCGGGGGAUCGAAAGGCCUCGCGCUAUUGGAGCGGCCGAUGCCGGAUUAGCUAGUUGGUGUGGUAAAGGCUUACGAAGGCGACGAACCGUAGCCGAUCUGAGAGGCCGACCAGCCACACUGGAACUGAGACACGGCCCAGACUCCUACGGGAGGCAGCAGUGGGGAAUUUUGGACAAUGGGCGCAACCCUGAUCGAGCCAUGCCGCGUGCGUGAAGAAGGCCUUCGGAUUGUAAAACGCUGUUGUUCGGGAAGAAAAUCUGUGGGCGAAUACCCCGGGGGGAUGACGGUACCGGAAGAGUAAGCACCGGCUAACUACGUG
rnacentral:rRNA from 1 species